AAUCAACGCUGGCGGCGUGCCUAACACAUGCAAGUCGAACGCGAAAGCCCCGCAAGGGGUAAGUAGAGUGGCAAACGGGUGAGUAACACGUGGGUGACCUGCCUUCGAGUGGGGGAUAACGUCCCGAAAGGGACGCUAAUACCGCAUGACAUCCUGCUUUUGAAAAAGCGGAGAUCAAAGCUGGGGAUCGCAAGACCUGGCGCUUGAAGAGGGGCCCGCGCCUGAUUAGCUAGUUGGUGAGGUAACGGCUCACCAAGGCGACGAUCAGUAUCCGGCCUGAGAGGGCGGACGGACACACUGGGACUGAGACACGGCCCAGACUCCUACGGGAGGCAGCAGUGGGGAAUUGUUCGCAAUGGGCGCAAGCCUGACGACGCAACGCCGCGUGGAGGACGAAGAUCUUCGGGUCGUAAACUCCUGUCGAGCGGGACGAACGCUUCGCGGAUGAAUAAUCCGCGGAAUUGACGGUACCGCUAAAGGAAGCCCCGGCUAACUCCGUG
rnacentral:rRNA from 1 species